GACGAACGCUGGCGGCGUGCUUAACACAUGCAAGUCGAACGGAAAGGCCCUGCUUUUGUGGGGUGCUCGAGUGGCGAACGGGUGAGUAACACGUGAGUAACCUGCCCUUGACUUUGGGAUAACUUCAGGAAACUGGGGCUAAUACCGGAUAGGAGCUCCUGCUGCAUGGUGGGGGUUGGAAAGUUUCGGCGGUUGGGGAUGGACUCGCGGCUUAUCAGCUUGUUGGUGGGGUAGUGGCUUACCAAGGCUUUGACGGGUAGCCGGCCUGAGAGGGUGACCGGCCACAUUGGGACUGAGAUACGGCCCAGACUCCUACGGGAGGCAGCAGUGGGGAAUAUUGCACAAUGGGCGGAAGCCUGAUGCAGCAACGCCGCGUGCGGGAUGACGGCCUUCGGGUUGUAAACCGCUUUCGCCUGAGACGAAGCGUGAGUGACGGUAAUGGGUAAGGAAGCACCGGCUAACUACGUG
rnacentral:rRNA from 1 species